rnacentral:rRNA from 1 species
GACGAACGCUGGCGGCGUGCUUAACACAUGCAAGUCGAACGGUGAAGCGCCUUCCUUUUUGGUGGGUGUGGAUGAGCGGCGAACGGGUGAGUAACACGUGAGUACCCUGCUCCCUCUUUCUUGAUAACCGCAUGAAAGAGUGGCUACUACGGGAUAUUCUGGGUCUGUCGCAUGAUGGGUCUGGGAAAGAUUUUGUUUCGGUUGGGGAUGGGCUCGCGGCCUAUCAGCUUGUUGGUGGGGUGAUGGCCUACCAAGGCGGUGAGGGGUAGCCGGCCUGAGAGGGUGGGCGGUCAUGCUGGGGCGAAGACGCGGAGAAGACUCCUACGGGAGGCAGUAGGGAGGAUUAUGGCACGAGGGGCGCAAGCCUGAUGCAGCGACGCGGCGGGGGGGAUGGAGGCCGUCGGGUUGUGAACUUCUUUCGCCAGUGAAGCAGGCUGGCCUCGUCUGUGGGUGGGUUGACGGUACCUGGAUAAGAAGCGCCGGCUAACUACGUG